UAGUACUAAUACAGAAAUCUGACCUGUUUCAUUUAUGACUGACAAAUAUGCAUCGUAUUAAGUUUAUUCCACACUGUGUGCACACUGUUUUAUAUGCAAUUCAUAUAUAUAAAUCUUAAAUUUAGACCUUUUUUUUUUAGUGCAGGGGAGUGGUCUGUAUUUUAGCCAAUCAGAAACCCUGUCAGUCAUUUUGCAUGUUCAGAUUUGCAGACCUUGGGCUGGUGGGCAGGAGUGCGUCUUAGUGGGCGGGGUUUGGCAUAAAAGGCGUAUGUGUGUGUGCGUGUAUCUUUAAGUGAGUGGAAUUUGACAUAUAGGGCGUGUGUGUUGUUUAGUGGGCGGAGUUUGACACAGAGAGCGUGUGUGUCUUAGUUGGCGGGUUUGACAUAAAGGCGUGUGUGUCUUAGUGGGCGGUGUUUGACGUGGUGAAUGUGUGUGUGUUUAGUGGGCGGGGUUUAGCACAGAAGGCGUGCGGGUAUUAGUGGGCGGGGUUUGACUGGGUGAGUGUGUCAUUUAGUGGGCGGGGUUUAGCAGAGAAGGCGUGUGUGUCUUAGUGGGCGGAGUCAGAGGGCGUGUGGGAUUGUAGUCAGGAAAGCUCCUGAAAUCACUUACAGCACUUUUAACAAUCAGACACUGUGUUCAGAGUUUAGAAACUCUUAAAAGGCCAAACAAAAGCUACUUUAUAUUUGUGUUACCAAAUGGUCCGUUCACACAGGACGUGUUCCUGCAUUUAAACACCUGGACUGAGAUCAAUGGAAGAGAACAGAGAAAGUAGUUUUACCUUGACAUGACAGACCGCAACCAAACACACGAAUCUGACACGCAUGUACACAGACAAACAAUAACGCAGCCCGUCCUGUGUGAACGAGCCACAUGUGACUGAACCUGCUUUGCCUUUCAUUACAAACCCUUGUUUUGUUCAUGUUGCGUGUUUUAUUUCGGUGAACAGCUGACAUCACAUCACUGUGCCUUGAUUUCAUACGUGUAAAAUACUAAAGUUGCUUUGGUAUUUGUUGAUUUGAUGUUGUGGAAUAUGUAAUCUAACGUCUGCAGUCAUUUCAGUCCGACACACUUCUGUAAAUGUGAUCUUUGAUCCUCAAACACUAAACGCAGACGAUUGCCUGAAUGAUUUUAGAUGAGAAUUGUUCUGAAAUGAAGAUAAUCUGCAAGUAUUAUUAGACAGCAGUAUUGCAAUUAUAGCGUGCAGUUCUUUUAGUGUUACUGAACUAAUAUUUCAGGAUGUUUUCUGAAAUAUGAACAAGUAUUUUCAAAGGUUCAAUCUGUAUAUUUUCUUUGUUUUGCGGACAGGAUCACACGCUUGUUUUGACAUGUUACUGUUUAAAGUGUUUGCACUGGCUUUCCAUAAACUAGAUGCUUCGGUGUAAACUCAUAACAUAAUAACCUCUUAUCAUAACUCAAGGUAUGUAUUAUCAUAUUGCACUAAAAUACACAAUAUUAAAUUUAAUUCUGAAGCUGCACAUUUAACGCACUGUGUUUUUUGAGAUGGUCAAAAUUGUUUUGAUCUCUGAGCCAUUUAUUUGAGUUUUAUGAUUUCUUUAUGUUGUUAUAUCGAUGUGCCAAACAUGAAUUGAGUUCAAAAAAUAAAUAUUGCACUUGAUGAGUUUGAUUUGCAUGGAUGUCAAUGGAGAAAAUCAAUGUUUGAGUUCAAAUGAUAGUGUUUGAGACCGAAUGUAAUGUAGUUUAAAUGCCUUUCGUGUCUUUUCAGCAUUUCAGGUGUUAAAUGAUGCAGAAUCUUGCCUUCAUCAGUGUAUAAACUAUAAAACUCAGUGGCCUUCGAUCUUUGAACACAGACUGUUUAAUAUUUUCUGCAUCUGUCCAGCUCUUAGAUUUCUAUAUUCAGACUGCACAAAUAAUUGUACAGUUUUGUAUAUAAAUGAAGCCUUUUUCCUGUGGAUUUAUAAAAAAA